rnacentral:lncRNA from 1 species
AGCCGUAGACGUCGGUGCGGUUGGAGAGAACGUCGUCAAAAUUUCAAAAUCCGAUGGUAGGGCGGGCCACUUGGGCCAGUCGCCCCGUCUUUUCUGGAAAGACGAAUCCAAGGGUGGAGAGCCCUCAGUCUGAUCAUGAUUCUACUCCUGAAAGAUCUCUACCUCCAUUCUUCCUGAAGACCCUCGAGACCCACAGUCGAGAGGAUUUUCUGGAUCGAAGGCUCCAAGAGAUGAACCGACGGAUCGAGGAACUCCACCACACUCCCCCCGCUUAUGGUGAGGACAUCUGUACUGACCCUCCCUUCUCUCAA